GCAACUAAAAAUAAUCACAAUAAUUUGCACUUAUGAGUUAAUGUGAUAAUCAUGUAUAAAAACUCUUUUCAACUGUUAUUUUUCACAAAAUAAUUUUGCGGAUCAGAUUGCUCUGGGCGCUUGUGUGGUUACCAAGAAAAUGCAGCCCUGUUGGUUUUUAUUUCUGUAUCGCAUCGCGGUGAGUUUCUAUUUCUUGGUAAUUCGGUUUGUGAAAUGACUAUUAAUUACAAGCACAGCAUCAUCAUGGUGACUGCAAGAACUACUGCAAUCCCUGCGGUUUUUCCUCUUGGUAAAUGCGUUCAGGUCGUGAUCAAGGGUGGUCUCCCAAAUCGGCCGGGAAUAAGGCUAUUGUUGCAGAACAAAACGGCGCAACCACUGCUGUGGUAAAUAUGUUCCAGCAGAGCUGCCCACCUCCGUCGGUGUAAUGAUUUCGAUAGCUGAACAAACGCCAUCUUCUGGGCAUUCCCACAGCUUGCCGACACUAGCUAUUACAUCACGUGUGAAUGCAACUGCAACUGGCACAUAGAGGUUGUAAAGUUUUUGGUAUCGAUGAACUUACUCGAAGAAGACGAUGGCCGAAAGCAUAUUAUGAAACAUCUUCUGGCAUGCCUUUGACAAUCGUUAAGUCAGACGGAGGCUUCACAUACGAUCUUUCACACAUGGCUGGAAUUCGUUAGCGGACAGAGCACACAUUUACAAAAUAUUUAUCGUUCUGCAGAACGUG